UGGGUACUGAUAUCUUCUUCUACUUUCCUCGGCCUUCUUCUCUGCAUCACCACCAUCCUCACUCUGGUUUUCUCCUCCAUCGCUUUGUUCACUCUGCCUCUCACUUUCAUUUUCGUUUUCGUUUUCAUUUUCAGUUUCUCGCCCAUUAGAACUCUUCUUCUCUACAUCCUCUUCUUCUUCUUCUUCUUUGGCAUCCUCCUUCUCUUUCAAAUCCAGUUUCUGAAACUCAUCAAGGUGAUCCUCCCCCUCCUCCUCCUCCUCCUUCUCCUUCAAAUCCAGCUUCUGAAGCUCAUCAAGGACCGCAUGAUCGAAAUCAGACGGUGCGGGAUCGGGAUCGGAGGAAGAAGGCAGAAACACUAGUUCGGAAUGGCUGGGUUGGUGGUGCUCAUCGAUGUGGUGGUUGUUGUUGGCAUCGAGAUUUGGGGGAACAGAGAUAGCUUCAGAGAC
rnacentral:lncRNA from 1 species